UACGUAGGAUCCAAGCGUUGUCCGGAUUUACUGGGUGUAAAGGGUGCGCAGGCGGACUGGUGAGUCUGGGGUGAAAUCUCGCUGCUUAACAGCGAAACUGCCUUAGAUACUAUCAGUCUUGAAUCAGCGAGAGGUUCGUGGAAUUCCGAGUGUAGCAGUGAAAUGUGUAGAUAUUCGGAAGAACACCAGUGGCGAAGGCAGCUCGUUACACGAAUAUUGACUCUGAGGCACGAAAGCGUGGGGAUCAAACAGG
rnacentral:rRNA from 1 species